rnacentral:tRNA from 5 species
GGGUGGUUAGCUCAGCUGGGAGAGCAUCGCCCUUACAAGGCGAGGGUCACAGGUUCGAACCCUGUACCACCCACCA